UGCAUGUUCAACUCAUGUGUUAUGAAUGAAAUAAUUAGUUCUUCUAUGGAUAGCUUGGUGAGAUCUCUUGCUUGUUGUAUCACUAUCACUUUAGCUUUUUAUGCCUUUGGUAAACACCUUAAAACUUUGCAAAAAAGCUUAUGGUUAGUAUAUGUCUUGCCAAGACUAUUUAAAGUAUUAAUUAUAUCAGUAAAUCUAAAAAUAUUUCAAAAAUAGACUCACAUUGUUCUAUUUUGAACAAUGCAUAUUUAUGAACAAAUAAAUUAAUUUUAG
rnacentral:lncRNA from 1 species